UACGGGGGGGGUAAGCGUUGUUCGGAAUUACUGGGCGUAAAGGGCUCGUAGGCGGCCAACUAAGUCAUACGUGAAAUCCCUCAGCUUAACUGGGGAACUGCGUGUGAUACUGGAUGGCUUGGAUUUGGGAGAGGGAUGCGGAAUUCCAGGUGUAGCGGUGAAAUGCGCAGAUAUCAGGAGGAACACCGGUGGCGAAGGCGGUUCUCUGGGCAUUACCUGACGCUGAGGAGCGAAAGUGUGGGGAGCGAACAGG
rnacentral:rRNA from 1 species